UACGGAGGGUGCAAGCGUUAUCCGGAUUUAUUGGGUUUAAAGGGUCCGUAGGUGGAUCGUUAAGUCAGGGGUGAAAGCCUACAGCUCAACUGUAGAAUUGCCUUUGAUACUGACGAUCUUGAGUGUGGUCGAAGUUGGCGGAAUAUGACAUGUAGCGGUGAAAUGCUUAGAGAUGUCAUAGAACACCGAUUGCGAAGGCAGCCAACUAGGUCACAACUGACACUGAGGGACGAAAGCGUGGGGAGCGAAC
rnacentral:rRNA from 1 species